UACGGAGGGUGCGAGCGUUGUCCGGAAUCAUUGGGCGUAAAGGGCGCGUAGGUGGCGGGACAAGCGUGCGGUGAAAGCUCGGGGCUCAACCCCGCGUCGGCCGUGCGAACUGUUUUGCUUGAGCACUGUAGAGGCAGGCGGAAUUCCGGGUGUAGCGGUGGAAUGCGUAGAGAUCCGGAAGAACAUCGGUGGCGAAGGCGGCCUGCUGGGCAGUAGCUGACACUGAGGCGCGACAGCGUGGGGAGCAAACAGG
rnacentral:rRNA from 1 species